rnacentral:rRNA from 1 species
GACAGAGGCCUCAAGCGUUAGGCGGAAUCACUGGGCUUAAAGCGUGUGUAGGCGGAUCGUUAAGUGCCUUGUGAAAUCCCACGGCUUAACUGUGGAACGGCUGGGCAUACUGGCGGUCUUGAGCCAUCUAGGGGCGACUGGAACAAACGGUGGAGCGGUGAAAUGCGUAGAUAUCGUUUGGAACGCCAAUGGUGAAAACAGGUCGCUGGGGAUGAGCUGACGCUGAGACACGAAAGCCCAGGGGAGCAAACGGG